rnacentral:rRNA from 1 species
UACGUAGGGUGCAAGCGUUGUCCGGAAUUAUUGGGCGUAAAGAGCUCGUAGGCGGUUUGUCGCGUCUGCUGUGAAAACCCGAGGCUCAACCUCGGGCCUGCAGUGGGUACGGGCAGACUAGAGUGCGGUAGGGGAGAUUGGAAUUCCUGGUGUGGCGGUGGAAUGCGCAGAUAUCAGGAGGAACACCAAUGGCGAAGGCAGAUCUCUGGGCCGUAACUGACGCUGAGGAGCGAAAGCAUGGGGAGCGAACAGG